GAGUUUGAUUCUGGCUCAGCGCGAACAUUGGCGGCGUGCCUAACACAUGCAAGUCGUGGGGCAGCAGGCUACUGUCUUUUGGCAGUAGUGCUGGCGACCGGCAAACUGGUGAGUAACACGUAGCUUACCUACCCAUAGGUUGGGGAUAACAUCCCGAAAGGGGUGCUAAUACCCAAUAAUGAGGAGACUCCAAAGCCCUUAUGGGUGCCUAUGGAUGGGGCUGCAUCCCAUCAGCUUGUUGGUGAGGUAAUGGCUUACCAAGGCUACGACGGGUAACCGGUCUGAGAGGAUAACCGGUCACAGUGGGACUGAGACACGGCCCGCACCCCUACGGGGGGCAGCAGUGGGGAAUAUUGGGCAAUGGCUGAAAGGCUGACCCAGCAACGCCGCGUGGUGGAUGAAGCCCUUCGGGGUGUAAACACCUUUUCUGGGGGAAGAUAAUGACGGUACCCC
rnacentral:rRNA from 1 species